rnacentral:misc_RNA from 1 species
GAUGAAGAACGUAGCGAAAUGCGAUAAGUAAUGCGAAUUGCAGAAUUCCGUGAGUCAUCGAAUCUUUGAACGCACAUUGCGCCCUUUGGCAUUCCGAAGGGCAUGCCUGUUCGAGCGUCAUUUAUCAACCCUCAAGCCCGGCUUGCGGUUGGGUCCCGCCGUGGGCGACCACGGCGGACCCGAAAGGUAAUGGCGGUGCCCGUGGGGCCCUGGACGCAGCGAGCUUCUCGGCACGCGUCCCGGCGGUCCCCGGCGCCGUCUCCACCAAUCCACCACGCAGAUUGACCUCGGAUCAGGUAGGGAUACCCGCUGAACUUAAGCAUAUCAAUAAGGAGGA